rnacentral:lncRNA from 1 species
UAAUAAUUACGUUCAAAACUCAAGAAAGCCCCAAAGUAGAAACCCCAAAUCGGAAACCCCUGAAUCUGAAAACCCAUGAUAAACCCCAUUCUCGACUCCGACCUCGACGCCAACGUUCUUGUAGAGAGAAAACUUCACCCACCACGUUAAGGAGCCACUUCAACCAACAAAGAUGAAGACUACGAAAUUGAAAUGAGGCAGACAAUUCCCAUAGCCUGGGUGAAAACUUCUUGGUAGACUUGGUAGAUAUUCUCCUCAAAUUGAUCCCAAGUUACUAUAUAUUGAAAUAGAAGCUACUAAAUUAUUAGGUUUUAAGUUUUGUAUAAGUGUGAAUGCCUUCCAUACGCUGGCCCUGUUCGGUUCUCAAAUGUGAGACUAAGUUUCUACUUUGAAAACAUACCAAUUUUCAUACUUCAUCUGUAUUCUUUAAAAGUUGGUUUACUGGAAUUUUAUUUGCCGGUUUUGAUGUCCAAAUGGAUUGAUGCUAACAAAUUCA